CAGCCGCCGCGGGAAUACGAAGGGGGCUAGCGUUGCUCGGAAUUACUGGGCGUAAAGGGAGCGUAGGCGGACAUUUAAGUCAGGGGUGAAAUCCCAGAGCUCAACUCUGGAACUGCCUUUGAUACUGGGUGUCUUGAGUGUGAUAGAGGUAUGUGGAACUCCGAGUGUAGAGGUGAAAUUCGUAGAUAUUCGGAAGAACACCAGUGGCGAAGGCGACAUACUGGAUCAUUACUGACGCUGAGGCUCGAAAGCGUGGGGAGCAAACAGGAUUAGAUACCCGAGUAGUCCCUGUCUCUUAUAC
rnacentral:rRNA from 1 species